rnacentral:rRNA from 1 species
GAUGAACGCUGGCGGCGUGCUUAACACAUGCAAGUCGAACGGUGAAGGCGGAGCUUGCUCUGCUGGAUCAGUGGCGAACGGGUGAGUAACACGUGAGCAAUCUGCCCCUGACUCUGGGAUAAGCGCUGGAAACGGCGUCUAAUACUGGAUACGAGCUGCGAAGGCAUCUUCAGCAGCUGGAAAGAAUUUCGGUCAGGGAUGAGCUCGCGGCCUAUCAGCUUGUUGGUGAGGUAAUGGCUCACCAAGGCGUCGACGGGUAGCCGGCCUGAGAGGGUGACCGGCCACACUGGGACUGAGACACGGCCCAGACUCCUACGGGAGGCAGCAGUGGGGAAUAUUGCACAAUGGGCGAAAGCCUGGUGCAGCAACGCCGCGUGAGGGACGACGGCCUUCGGGUUGUAAACCUCUUUUAGCAGGGAAGAAGCGAAAGUGACGGUACCUGCAGAAAAAGCGCCGGCUAACUACGUG